UACGGAGGGUGCAAGCGUUAAUCGGAAUUACUGGGCGUAAAGCGUGCGUAGGUGGUUCGUUAAGUCCGUUGUGAAAGCCCCGAGCUCAACUUGGGAAUUGCAGUGGAUACUGGCGAGCUGGAGUGCGGUAGAGGAAGGUGGAAUUCCCGGUGUAGCGGUGAAAUGCGUAGAUAUCAGGAGGAACACCUGUGGCGAAAGCGGCGCACUGGACCACAACUGACGCUGAGGCGCGAAAGCGUGGGGAGCAAACAGG
rnacentral:rRNA from 1 species